CCUGCCAGUGGUCAUAUGCUUGUUUCAAAGCCUAAGCCAUGCAUGUCUAAGCACAGCUUGUAAAAGUGAAGCCGCGAAUAGCUCAUUACAACAGCCGUUGUUUAUUGGAUCUCCAUUCUCUACUUGGAAUAACUGUGGUAAUUCUAGAGCUAAUACAUGCGACCAAGGCCUGAACUUACGUGACGGCUGCAUUUAUUAGAACAAGACCAACCGCCUUCGGGCGUUCUCUGGUGACUCUGAAUAACUGAGUGAAUCACAUGGCCUUGCGCCGGUGAUGUAUCUUUCAAGUGUCUGCCUUAUCAACUUUCGAUGGUAGUUUAUGUGCCUACCAUGGUUGUAACGGGUAACGGAGAAUAAGGGUUUGACUCCGGAGAGGGAGCCUGAGAAACGGCUACCACUUCUAAGGAAGGCAGCAGGCGCGCAAAUUACCCAUUCUCGGCACGAGGAGGUAGUGACGAAAAAUACCAAGCUGGGAUCCAUUGGGUUCCGGCAUUGGAAUGAGAACAAUACAAAUCUUUUAACGAGGAUCUAGUGGAGGGCAAGUCUGGUGCCAGCAGCCGCGGUAAUUCCAGCUCCGCAAGUGUAUAUCUAUGUUGCUGCGGUUAAAAAGCUCGUAGUUGGAUCUGCGUGUUUAGCGUCCGGUUCACCUUCUGGGUGCUACUGGAACGCGACACAGAUGUGUUGGUUUGGUGUCGGUGCUCUUAACCGGGUGUCGGCGCCGGCUAACGAGUUUACUUUGAAAAAAUUAGAGUGCUCAAAACAGGCGUUUCGCCUGAAUAUUUCUGCAUGGAAUAAUAGAAUAGGACUUCGAUUCUAUUCUGUUGGUUUUCGGAAUGCGAGGUAAUGAUUAAGAGGGACAGACGGGGGCAUUCGUACUGCGACGUUAGAGGUGAAAUUCUUGGAUCGUCGCAAGACGUACUACUGCGAAGGCAUUUGCCAAGAAUGUUUUCAUUAAUCAAGAACGAAAGUUAUGGGUUCGAAGGCGAUCAGAUACCGCCCUAGUCAUAACCGUAAACGAUUCAAACUAGGCGCCCGACGGCGUUUUCAUUGACCCGUCGCACGCCUUGCCGGAAACGAAAGUGUUCGUGUUCCGGGGGAAAUAUGUCUGCAAAGAGGAAACUUAAAGGAAUUGACGGAAGGGCACCACCAGGGGUGGAGCCUGCGGCUUAAUUUGACCCAACACGGGGAAACUCACC
rnacentral:rRNA from 1 species